CCGGAAGGUAAUUGUGAAGCAUCAACAUCAUUUAUUUUGACGAAUGUUAUCUCAGUACCAGGAAAAUCACUGUGAGAAAUGAAAGGAAGUCACACUCUGUCAUGUCUGCAGUACUGAAUGGUCAUCCAGGGGAGCUCUACCCAGUGGGAAGCGACCACACAGGAGCGCAAACAGCGGAAGCUGAGUCCUGUCAGGGGCUGGCUCCCACAACGAUAAGGAACACAGCACACGUACCCAGGAGAACAUGCCUGGGCUAGCCUGUUGGAAGAUGGGAGAUGGUACAUGAAGCAGAGAUGAGCUACCCCGAUUUCCCCACCUGUACCUGCCCUAGGUCAUGUGGCUGCUAGCU